UUGAAGCUUCGGCAGAUUUAGCUUGUUUCUAGUGGCGGACGGGUGAGUAACGCGUGGGUAACCUGCCUUAUACUGGGGGAUAACAGCCAGAAAUGACUGCUAAUACCGCAUAAGCGCACAGGGCCGCAUGGUUCGGUGUGAAAACUUAGGUGGUAUAAGAUGGACCCGCGUUGGAUUAGCUAGUUGGCAGGGCAGCGGCCUACCAAGGCGACGAUCCACAGCCGGCCUGAGAGGGUGAACGGCCACAUUGGGACUGAGACACGGCCCAGACUCC
rnacentral:rRNA from 1 species